rnacentral:rRNA from 1 species
UGCGGAGGGAUCAUUACACAAUAAAAUAUGAAGGCUGUACGCGGCUGUGCUCUCGGGCCAGUUUUGCGGAGGCUGAAUUAUUUAUUACCCUUGUCUUUUGCGCACUUGUUGUUUCCUGGGCGGGUUCGCCCGCCACCAGGACCACAUCAGAAACCUUUUUUAUGCAGUUGCAAUCAGCGUCAGUAUAACAAAUGUAAAUCAUUUACAACUUUCAACAACGGAUCUCUUGGUUCUGGCAUCGAUGAAGAACGCAGCGAAAUGCGAUACGUAGUGUGAAUUGCAGAAUUCAGUGAAUCAUCGAAUCUUUGAACGCACAUUGCGCCCUUUGGUAUUCCAAAGGGCAUGCCUGUUCGAGCGUCAUUUGUACCCUCAAGCUUUGCUUGGUGUUGGGCGUUUUUUGUCUUUGGUUGCCAAAGACUCGCCUUAAAAGGAUUGGCAGCCGGCCUACUGGUUUCGCAGCGCAGCACAUUUUUGCGCUUGCAAUCAGCAAAAGAGGACGGCAAUCCAUCAAGACUCCUUCUCACGUUUGACCUCGGAUCAGGUAGGGAUACCCGCUGAACUUAAGCAUAUCAAA